rnacentral:lncRNA from 1 species
CCGGGGGUGCUUCUCCCCCCUGCGAUGGGGUUCCUAAGAGCCAGGAUCAGAAGAGGGGCUGGCUCUCUGUGCCCGCCUCGCGGGGGGUGCCUCCGCCCCCUGUGAUGGGGGUCCUAAGAGCCAGAAGGCUUAGAGGGGCUGGCUCUGAGACCACGCCUCGCGAGGUGCCUCCCCACCUUGCGAUCGGGGUCCCAAGAACCAGGGGGGAAGAGGGGCUGGCUCUCUUUGUGGAUGAUUCUUUUUCCAUUCUCAGGCAGUUUUCUUUUUUCUUUCUUUUCUUUUUUUUUGAGACUGAGUCUUGCUCUGUUGCCCAUGCUUUGCUGGAUCUCGGGUGACUGCAACCACUGCCUCCCAGGUUCAAGAGAUUCUCCUGCCUCAGCCUCCUGAGUAGCUGGGACUAGAGGCGUGUGUCACCACACCCAGCUAAUUUUUGUAUUUUUAGUAGAGAUGGAGUUUCACCAUGUUUGCCAGGAUGGUCUCUAUCUCCUGACCUUGUGAUCCACCCACCUCAGCCUCCCAAAGUGCUGGGAUUGCAGGUGCGAGCCACCGGGUCCACCCUCUCAGGCGAUUUUCAUACCUGCAUACUCUGAUCACUACUCUGUUAAACAGUCAACGAGGCUGAGUGCCACGUGCUGACAUCACUAAGAUCAAUACAGCAAACUCUGAAAGAUGGACAGAGAGACAGGAGAUGGUCCUUUAUAAUGCAGUGUGAUCUGUGCUGCAAUAGAGAUGGAAGAGUGUUCUGAUCGGCUGGAAAACAACGCACAUGGGAAGCUGUACAGAAAUGAGUGGGGAAAGUUUUGGAAGCUAGAAGUUCAAAACGAGGUGUUGGCAGCACCAUGCUCUCUCUGAAGAUGCUAGGAAGAAUCUGCUCCAUGCCUUUCCAUUCGCUUCUGGGGUUUCCUGCAAGCCCUGACAUUCCUUGGCUUGUGGAUGCAUCACCCCAGUUUCCGUCCCCAUCAUCACAUGGCCUCCUCUCUGUGUGUGCCUCUGCGUUCCCUCUAUUCUUCUUCUAAGGACACCAACACCAGUCAUAGUGGAUUAAGGGUCCACUCCUAACUAAUUACAUCUGCAACAACCCUAUUUCCAAAUAAAGUCACAUUCUAAGAUUCCUAGGGAGAACAUGAAUUUUUGGGGGUGUGUGGAUACUGUUCAACCUGGGACAUGGAGUAAAUAAAUGGCAAGGAAGAUUACAGAUGACUUUAAGCUAAAGAG